UGGCUUAUUACAAAACAACAGGAUGCUGCAGCUUUAUCAAAGUCUACUUAUUUGUCCACUAAAAGUUUAUGGCUAUACGUUUCCAACUAGAACAUCUGAACACCAAUAUAUGGAAUUCUGACAAAGUUAAAACCAGGAAGAGAUCCUAUGAAGGCUGACAUUUUGUACAUCUGUUUUAUAGAACAAUAAAAAUAAGAAGAACAAGAAUAAGAACAGCAACAACAUUUGCAGCCACUGUCUAGACCACAGGAAACCUGGUCAACAACAUAUGGGAUGUCACCAGAUUCAGACUCAGAAGUUUCCAUAAUGCCGUUGCCAACAGCUAGACACAGGAGAGUACUCUAUCUGUGUUCUUGAGUGGAGAUGAUGAAGAUUAGAACUAUACCUGAGUUGUGAUGAACAUGGAAAGUGAUUUGGAGAGUUGCACUUUUCUUGGAACCUGAGCCUGAGAAUUUGCUUAUGGAUUGUAUAUGAUGCCAGGAAAUGGAAUAGAGGACUGGGAAGAGUGAGAGAAGGAAGAGAAGCCAGGAGGAGAGUAUGUUACGAGCUGUGAAUAAUUGGGACUUGAUUCCUAUAUGAUCAAUUCUCACCAAUACCACCAAUAUCACCAAUAGAUAAUGAGGACUGGAACUCUUUAUCUCUAAAAGAUGACCUGAAACACUAUGGAAAAGGAAGAUGCAUUACAACUGAAGAAACGGCUAUAUAGAGAGAUAAAGAAGCUUGCUCAAGGAUACACAGCCAGAAAGCAAAAGAGUUGGAGUUUGAACUUCGACAGUCUAACUCGAGGUUCUUUCUCUGUGUUUAAUCAGUCAACCACACUGCCUCUUCAGAAGCACGCAUAAUGUAUGCUCUAAAAAGUAAUGUCAAUGUAUUAGGUGUCAAAGGUGAUCUCCCACCAGAGUGUACCAACAAGUGGAUCGGUCAAGAUAAAUCAUUACAGUGUGUCG
rnacentral:lncRNA from 10 species